rnacentral:rRNA from 1 species
UCGACCCCGAUGACCGUCGGGAGAAGCGUCACGCAUCACACCU